UGAUAACUCCUGGCACAACCAUUAAGACCCUCAUCUAUAGUGGACUGGAACAAAGCACAGGUGACUGUAACACAGAUUGAUGAAAGAUUCUGCAGGACGACAAAGGUUAAAGAUGUAGACCCGGAGCUAGAAGCCAGCACUGACACUGAUGGAGUGGACUGCGAUGAGAAUGCCCACAUUAUUGUCCUAUCCUCUGAUAACCAAUGUAAUAUGAAAACCGACUACAGAAGAAAGGAACAAAUUAAAUCCAUUAAUCAAGCAUAUCUCUGCUAAACAGUUGUUCGAAACUGAUGAACAAAUGAAAAAUUUACUGUUUGUUUUCAUGCUUGCAAGGAUUGGGGAAGAAAAUUAAUUAUAAGGUACUGGCCACACUAUCAGUAAAGUUUUUCUUGAGGAAACUAUUGCUUUGUCAAAGGACAAAUGAACCUCAUUAGGGAGAUUAGUUUCAGCUGGUAGUUUUGCAUUAGUACAAACUAAUAAUACACACUUCAAAAGAUACCCUGAGUAAGAUUAUGAAAAUUGAAAUCCAUUUGUUACUUCUUAAUUUACUAACUGUUAGAAAAUGACCACUCUAUUACUUAUCAUGAAACCAGAAG